UACGUAGGUGGCAAGCGUUAUCCGGAAUUAUUGGGCGUAAAGCGCGCGUAGGCGGUUUUUUAAGUCUGAUGUGAAAGCCCACGGCUCAACCGUGGAGUGACAUUGGAAACUGGAAAACUUGAGUGCGGAAGAGGAAAGUGGAAUUCCAUGUGUAGCGGUGGAAUGCGCAGAGAUAUGGAGGAACACCAGUGGCGAAGGCGACUGUCUGGUCUGUUACUGACACUGAUGUGCGAAAGCGUGGGGAUCAAACAGA
rnacentral:rRNA from 1 species